UACAGAGGGGGCAAGCGUUGUUCGGAAUUACUGGCGUAAAGGGCGCGUAGGCGGCCUUCUAAGUCGAACGUGAAGUCCCUGGGCUCAACCCAGGAACUGCGUCCGAUACUGGAAGGCUUGAAUCCGGGAGAGGGAUGCGGAAUUCCAGGUGUAGCGGUGAAAUGCGUAGAUAUUAGGAAGAACACCAGUGGCGAAGGCGGCUUACUGGUCCGGUACUGACGCUGAGGUGCGAAAGCGUGGGGAGCAAACAGG
rnacentral:rRNA from 1 species